rnacentral:SRP_RNA from 1 species
UCGUGCUAAACGGGGAGCUAGCGGUGCCCUGAAUCCUGUCUGAAUAAGGCAGGGGUGACCCGAAAUCCGCUUAUGCGGGGUUGAAUACCCCUCUGAGUCAGUCAGUUCAGGGGCAACAGCAAGGCUAAAAGGGCGAUGAGGUCCGGGUCUUAUGAAGGCACCGUCUACGAACCCCGCCAGGUCCGGAAGGAAGCAACGGUAAGUAGAAAUGGGCUGGUCAUAAGGGUGCCUGGACUGAGUCCUUUACUUUGCUGUUCCUGGAGUGGCUGGCGAAUUGGGGUUGCACGA